rnacentral:tRNA from 1 species
UACACUUUAGUAUAUGAUGUAUAGGAGUUUUUGAUACUUUAGGAGCUAGUUUGAUUCUGGCAAGUGUAA